rnacentral:miRNA from 1 species
AUGGCAAUCCUGUGAUAUAGAA